rnacentral:snRNA from 1 species
CUUUCGCCUUUUACUAAAGAUUUCCGUGGAGAGGAACACUCAAAUGAGUCUAAAGAAAUUUUUAUAAGGCCUGACGAAAGUUGGGCU